rnacentral:rRNA from 1 species
CAUGCAAGUCGAACGGAGUCUGCAUGAAACCUAGUGAUUGUAGACUUAGUGGCGGACGGGUGAGUAACGCGUGGGUAACCUGCCUUGUACUGGGGGACAACAGUUGGAAACGACUGCUAAUACCGCAUAAGCGCACAGCUUCGCAUGAAGCAGUGUGAAAAACUGAGGUGGUACAAGAUGGACCCGCGUCUGAUUAGCUGGUUGGUGAGGUAACGGCUCACCAAGGCGACGAUCAGUAGCCGGCCUGAGAGGGUGAACGGCCACAUUGGGACUGAGACACGGCCCAAACUCCUACGGGAGGCAGCAGUGGGGAAUAUUGCACAAUGGGGGAAACCCUGAUGCAGCGACGCCGCGUGAGUGAAGAAGUAUUUCGGUAUGUAAAGCUCUAUCAGCAGGGAAGAAAGAAAUGACGGUACCUGACUAAGAAGCCCCGGCUAACUACGUGCCAGCAGCCGCGGUAAUACGUAGGGGGCAAGCGUUAUCCGGAUUUACUGGGUGUAAAGGGAGCGUAGACGGCAUGGCAAGUCUGAAGUGAAAUGCCAGGGCUUAACCCUGGAACUGCUUUGGAAACUGUCUAGCUAGAGUGCAGGAGAGGUAAGUGGAAUUCCUAGUGUAGCGGUGAAAUGCGUAGAUAUUAGGAGGAACACCAGUGGCGAAGGCGGCUUACUGGACUGUAGCUGACGUUGAGGCUCGAAGGCGUGGGGAGCAAACAGGAUUAGAUACCCUGGUAGUCCACGCGGUAAACGAUGAAUACUAGGUGUAGGAA